GACGUAGGGGGCGAGCGUUGUCCGGAUUUAUUGGGCGUAAAGAGCGCGUAGGCGGCCCGGAUAGUCGGAUGUGAAAACCCGGGGCUCAACCCCGGGCCUGCAUCCGAUACUCCCGGGCUGGAGGCAGGUAGGGGAGAUCGGAAUUCCUGGUGUAGCGGUGAAAUGCGCAGAUAUCAGGAGGAACACCGGUGGCGAAGGCGGAUCUCUGGGCCUGUCCUGACGCUGAGGCGCGAAAGCUAGGGGAGCGAACAGG
rnacentral:rRNA from 1 species